rnacentral:lncRNA from 1 species
UAUUCAUGUUCGUAAAUGAAGUGCUCUUCUCAUGACUAUAUUCAUCCAAAGAUGAAAUAUCUUUGAGAAACUCUCGGCUAUAUUCAUGUUCGUAAACAAAAUACUCUUCUCAUGACUAUAUUCAUCUAAAGAUGAAGCACCUUUGAGGAACUCCCAGCUAUAUUUAUGUUCAUAAACGAAGCAUCCUUCUCAUGGCUAUAUUCAUCUGAAGAUGAAUCACC